rnacentral:rRNA from 1 species
ACGAACGCUGGCGGCGUGCCUUAUGCAUGCAAGUCGAACGAGUCUAGCCGGUGCCGCAAGGUAUUGGCGAAAGCUAGUGGCAAACUGCUGAGUAACACGUGGGUAACCUACCUUCUAGUGGGGGAUAUACCGCCGAAAGGCGGCGUAAUACCGCAUAAUCUCCUCCCCUGAUGGGGGAGGAAGAAAGCCUCACGGCGCUGGAAGAUGGGCCUGCGGCCUAUCAGGUAGUUGGCGGGGUAACGGCCCACCAAGCCUAAGACGGGUAGCUGGUCUGAGAGGACGACCAGCCAGACGGGGACUGCGAUACGGCCCCGACUCCUACGGGAGGCAGCAGCAGGGAAUAUUGCGCAAUGGACGCAAGUCUGACGCAGCGACGCCGCGUGAGGGAUGAAGGCUUUCGGGUCGUAAACCUCUUUUCUGGGGGACGAGCAAGGACGGUACCCCAGGAAUAAGCCACGGCUAACUACGU